rnacentral:rRNA from 1 species
AGUGAACGCUGGCGGUAGGCCUAACACAUGCAAGUCGAACGGCAGCACAGUAAGAGCUUGCUCUUACGGGUGGCGAGUGGCGGACGGGUGAGGAAUACAUCGGAAUCUACUUUUUCGUGGGGGAUAACGUAGGGAAACUUACGCUAAUACCGCAUACGACCUACGGGUGAAAGCAGGGGAUCUUCGGUCCUUGCGCAAUUGAAUGAGCCGAUGUCGGAUUAGCUAGUUGGCGGGGUAAAGGCCCACCAAGGCGACGAUCCGUAGCUGGUCUGAGAGGAUGAUCAGCCACACUGGAACUGAGACACGGUCCAGACUCCUACGGGAGGCAGCAGUGGGGAAUAUUGGACAAUGGGCGCAAGCCUGAUCCAGCCAUACCGCGUGGGUGAAGAAGGCCUUCGGGUUGUAAAGCCCUUUUGUUGGGAAAGAAAAGCAGCAGGUUAAUACCCCGCUGUUCUGACGGUACCCAAAGAAUAAGCACCGGCUAACUUCGUG